CCCCCCCCCACUUGAUUCAAACAGUUUUAUUUUGUGUGUGGUGGCCUGGUGUGUCUUAGGUCUACAACUUUCACUACCCCCCAUUUGGUGUGUCUUAGAUCUACAACUUUCACUACCCCCCAUUUGGUGUGUCUUAGGUCUACAACUUUCACUACCCCCCAUUUGGUGUGUCUUAGGUCUACAACUUUCACUACCCCCCAUUUGGUGUGUCUUAGAUCUACAACUUUCACUACCCCCCAUUUGGUGUGUCUUAGGUCUACAACUUUCACUACCCCCCAUUUGGUGUGUCUUAGGUCUACAACUUUCACUACCCCCCAUUUGGUGUGUCUUAGGUCUACAACUUUCACUACCCCCCAUUUGCUUUAAACAGUCAUAUUUUGGUGUCAUAGGUCUACAACUUUCACUACACCCCAUUUGCUUUAAACAGUCAUAUUUUGGUGUGUCUUAGGUCUACAACUUUCUCUACCCUCCCACCCCCACCCCCCACUUGAUUCAAACAGUUUUAUUUUGUGUGUGGUGGCCUGGUGUGUCUUAGGUCUACAACUUUCACUACCCCCCAUUUGGUGUGUCUUAGGUCUACAACUUUCACUACCCCCCAUUUGGUGUGUCUUAGGUCUACAACUUUCACUACCCCCCAUUUGGUGUGUCUUAGGUCUACAACUUUCACUACCCCCCAUUUGGUGUGUCUUAGAUCUACAACUUUCACUACCCCCCAUUUGGUGUGUCUUAGGUCUACAACUUUCACUACCCCCCAUUUGGUGUGUCUUAGGUCUACAACUUUCACUACCCCCCAUUUGCUUUAAACAGUCAUAUUUUGGUGUCAUAGGUCUACAACUUUCACUACCCCCCAUUUGGUGUGUCAUAGGUCUACAACUUUCACUACACCCCAUUUGCUUUAAACAGUCAUAUUUUGGUGUGUCUUAGGUCUACAACUUUCUCUACACCCCCCCCCCCCCACACUUGAUUCAAACAGUUUUAUUUUGUGUGUGGUGGCCUGGUGUGUCUUAGGUCUACAACUUUCACUACACCCCAUUUGCUUUAAACAGUCAUAUUUUGGUGUGUCUUAGGUCUACAACUUUCACUACCCCCCAUUUGCUUUAAACAGUCAUAUUUUGGUGUCAUAGGUCUACAACUUUCACUACCCCCCAUUUGGUG